rnacentral:lncRNA from 1 species
GGCGAAUAGGGCCCUGAGCAGACCGUGCCUUUAGUCCGGGGAAGCUCCGGGUUUAGGUGGGUCUCUCGGUUGGGCUUUCCCCCACCAAGGACCCCUUUUUCCCCUGCAGAAGCCACGUUUGCAGCACCACAUCCCCCGGAUGACCGUGCCCGCUGACUCACCGGAGGCUUCAUAACUCGGAGGACGUUGUUUGUUUUCUGAACUGGCCUUGGGAUGGAAUUGUGUCUGCCUUAGACCAUUUUAAUGCAUUUCCCCAUGGAGGCCCAGUGUCCCCCAAAGUGGUUGCCAUUAUAAAAAACUUGCUCCAGAAUUAUAGCAGCAUCGGAGGUGAGCAGUGAAAGCACCGAAGGAAACAAAACAGGUCUUUCAGGUCCAUUUGAAAACUAGAGACCUCAGAGUAGAGACAGAUGACUCCUGGAAUGCCCUGACCUUCCAGAGUCUUUGUGGCCACUCCUGGCCAGCUGCGAACUGUGAAAGGACAUCUAUUCAUCUUCGUUGCCUCCCACACUCUCCUUGUCUCUCCUCAUUCAGAUAUAAGUUUGCUAAAAUGGCUAAAGAGGUCUUUAUAAGGGAGAAAUGACAUAAUGGAUGAAAAAUUACGUGCUAAACUGUAAGUAGAGAAGUGGAUGCAUGUUCGAUUCCUGCACUCCCCGCCUACAGACCUCAGAGCCCAGGCCAUGGCAGUAUUGCAAAGGGACAACAAACCCAUGGGUCCCUCCAGAAUGGACUGUAAAUGAAAUAUGUUCUAGUGUCUUUAAAGAAUAAAAUAGAAAUUUAUUUAAAAGUGUUGCAAAAUUCAUAGUAGCUCAUGAAUAUGUAUUUCUCCAACACC